rnacentral:rRNA from 1 species
CAGUCGCCGCGGUAAUACGAAGGGUGCAAGCGUUAAUCGGAAUUACUGGGCGUAAAGCGUGCGUAGGCGGUUUGUUAAGUCUGUUGUGAAAUCCCCGGGCUCAACCUGGGAAUGGCAAUGGAUACUGGCAGGCUAGAGUGUGUCAGAGGAUGGUGGAACUCCCGGUGUAGCGGUGAAAUGCGUAGAGAUCGGGAGGAACAUCAGUGGCGAAGGCGGCCAUCUGGGACAACACUGACGCUGAGGCACGAAAGCGUGGGGAGCAAACAGGAUUAGAUACCCCAGUAGUCCCUGUCUCUUAUAA